rnacentral:sRNA from 1 species
UUCCUAAACCCUAACGGGCAUGGAACAAAGUCCUCGACAGUAGCAAGCUCUCGUUAGAGCGCUGUCGAGGCUGCAUGCCGAAAGGCGUGUAGGUGGCGCAAGCCAUC